CCUACGGGCGGCAGCAGUGAGGAAUAUUGGUCAAUGGGCGAGAGCCUGAACCAGCCAAGUCGCGUGAAGGAUGAAGGAUCUAUGGUUUGUAAACUUCUUUUAUAUGGGAAUAAAGUGAGGAACGUGUUCCUUUUUGUAUGUACCAUAUGAAUAAGCAUCGGCUAACUCCGUGCCAGCAGCCGCGGUAAUACGGAGGAUGCGAGCGUUAUCCGGAUUUAUUGGGUUUAAAGGGUGCGUAGGUGGUUAAUUAAGUCAGCGGUGAAAGUUUGUGGCUCAACCAUAAAAUUGCCGUUGAAACUGGUUGACUUGAGUAUAUUUGAGGUAGGCGGAAUGCGUGGUGUAGCGGUGAAAUGCAUAGAUAUCACGCAGAACUCCGAUUGCGAAGGCAGCAUACCGGCGCCCAACUGACGCUGAAGCACGAAAGCGUGGGUAUCGAACAGGAUUAGAUACCCGGGUAGUC
rnacentral:rRNA from 1 species